AUUGAACGCUGGCGGCAGGCUUAACACAUGCAAGUCGAGCGGAGCGAGGGUGCUUGCACCUUAGCUUAGCGGCGGACGGGUGAGUAAUGCUUAGGAAUCUGCCUAUUAGUGGGGGACAACAUUCCGAAAGGAAUGCUAAUACCGCAUACGCCCUACGGGGGAAAGCAGGGGACCUUUGGACCUUGCGCUAAUAGAUGAGCCUAAGUCGGAUUAGCUAGUUGGUGGGGUAAAGGCCUACCAAGGCGACGAUCUGUAGCGGGUCUGAGAGGAUGAUCCGCCACACUGGGACUGAGACACGGCCCAGACUCCUACGGGAGGUAGCAGUGGGGAAUAUUGGACAAUGGGCGGAAGCCUGAUCCAGCCAUGCCGCGUGUGUGAAGAAGGCCUUUUGGUUGUAAAGCACUUUAAGCGAGGAGGAGGAGCUCUAGGUUAAUACCCUAGAUGCUUGGACGUUACUCGCAGAAUAAGCACCGGCUAACUCUGUGCCAGCCGCCGCCGUAACAC
rnacentral:rRNA from 1 species